UACAGAGGUCCCAAGCGUUGUUCGGAUUCACUGGGCGUAAAGGGUGCGUAGGUGGCGAGGUAAGUCGGAUGUGAAAGCUCGGAGCUCAACUCCGAAAUGGCAUUGGAAACUACCUUGCUCGAGGGUUGGAGGGGGGACUGGAAUGCUUGGUGUAGCAGUGAAAUGCGUAGAUAUCAAGCGGAACACCAGUGGCGAAGGCGAGUCCCUGGACAACUCCUGACACUGAUGCACGAAAGCUAGGGGAGCAAACAGG
rnacentral:rRNA from 1 species